CCUACGGGUGGCAGCAGUGGGGAAUAUUGCACAAUGGGGGAAACCCUGAUGCAGCGACGCCGCGUGAGUGAAGAAGUAUUUCGGUAUGUAAAGCUCUAUCAGCAGGGAAGAAAAUGACUGUACCUGAUUAAGAAGCCCCGGCUACCUACGUGCCAGCAGCCGCGGUAAUACGUAGGGGGCAAGCGUUAUCCGGAUUUACUGGGGGUAAAGGGAGCGUAGACGGGAGCACAAGUCUGGAGUGAAAUGCCGGGGCUUAACCCCGGGACUGCUUUGGAAACUGUGCAGCUGGAGUGCAGGAGAGGUAAGUGGAAUUCCUGGUGUAGCGGUGAAAUGCGUAGAUAGUAGGAGGAACACCAGUGGCGAAGGCGGCUUGCUGGACUGUAACUGACGUUGAGGCUCGAAAGCGUGGGGAGCAAACAGGAUUAGAUACCCUUGUAGUC
rnacentral:rRNA from 1 species